rnacentral:rRNA from 1 species
UAGGGAAUAUUGCACAAUGGGCGAAAGCCUGAUGCAGCAACGCCGCGUGUGCGAUGAAGGCCUUCGGGUCGUAAAGCACUUUUCUGGGAGUUGAGAAAGGACAGUAUCCCAGGAAUAAGUCUCGGCUAACUACGUGCCAGCAGCCGCGGUAAAACGUAGGAGGCGAGCGUUAUCCGGAUUCACUGGGUGUAAAGCGCGUGCAGGCGGUUCGGUAAGUUGGGCGUGAAAUCUCCUGGCUCAACUAGGAGAGGUCGUCCAAUACUACCGGGCUUGAGAGCGGUAGAGGAAGAUGGAAUUCCCGGUGUAGUGGUGAAAUGCGUAGAUAUCGGGAGGAACACCAGUGGCGAAGGCGAUCUUCUGGACCGUUUCUGACGCUCAGACGCGACAGCUAGGGUAGCAAACGGG